GACGAACGCUGGCGGCGUGCUUAACACAUGCAAGUCGAACGGAAAGGCCCUGCUUUUGUGGGGUGCUCGAGUGGCGAACGGGUGAGUAACACGUGAGUAACCUGCCCUUGACUUUGGGAUAACUUCAGGAAACUGGGGCUAAUACCGGAUAGGAGCUCCUGCUGCAUGGUGGGGGUUGGAAAGUUUCGGCGGUUGGGGAUGGACUCGCGGCUUAUCAGCUUGUUGGUGGGGUAGUGGCUUACCAAGGCUUUGACGGGUAGCCGGCCUGAGAGGGUGACCGGCCACAUUGGGACUGCGAUACGGCCCAGACUCCUCCGGGCGGCAGUCGUGGGGAAUAUUGCACGAUGGCCGGCAGCCUGAUGCAGCCACGCCGCGUGCGGGAUGACGGCCUUCGCCUUGUCACACGCUUUCGCCUGUCCCGAAGCGUGGGUGACGGUAAUGGGUACAGCAGCACCGGCCCACUACGUG
rnacentral:rRNA from 1 species